AGUGAACGCUGGCGGUAGGCCUAACACAUGCCAGUCGAACGGCAGCACAGUAAGAGCUUGCUCUUACGGGUGGCGAGUGGCGGACGGGUGAGGAAUACAUCGGAAUCUACUUUUUCGUGGGGGAUAACGUAGGGAAACUUACGCUAAUACCGCAUACGACCUACGGGUGAAAGCAGGGGAUCUUCGGACCUUGCGCGAUUGAAUUAGCCGAUGUCGGAUUAGCUAGUUGGCGGGGUAAAGGCCCACCAAGGCGACGAUCCGUAGCUGGUCUGAGAGGAUGAUCAGCCACACUGGAACUGAGACACGGUCCAGACUCCUACGGGAGGCAGCAGUGGGGAAUAUUGGACAAUGGGCGAAAGCCUGAUCCAGCCAUACCGCGUGAGUGAAGAAGGCCUUCGGGUUGUAAAGCCCUUUUGUUGGGAAAGAAAAGCAGCAGGUUAAUACCCCGCUGUUCUGACGGUACCCAAAGAAUAAGCACCGGCUAACUUCGUG
rnacentral:rRNA from 1 species